GGGGAACAAAGUAAGAUUGGUAUUAUUCUCCCCAACAUUUACAUAUCGCUGCUUUUUCUAUGAAAUCAAAACCUUGAAUGACGCACAACAGACGCAAUCUUCAAAUAUCAGGAAGGUGUUUAAAACUAGAAGAAGCACACAGGAGAAAAACUGAACCACUACUGUUUGUGUGUGUGUGACAUGAGCUCCUUCACAGCCUGUCAGACAACCUUUUUUUCUGGAGAGAUACGGCGCGGAGCAACCGGCCACAGCUCCUCCUCGGCUCCGGUGAGUUUAUAAGACAUGUUGCCAACAGAUAGAGAUUGAUGAUAGCAUCUGAUGCAAUUUACUCCAUGUCCAGGGUUGCUGGUUCACAUUCUGGGUUUAAUGGUGAAAGUCCAGGUUGCAGAGAAAAUCUCCCGCGAGUCUGUCAGCUGGAAUUGAACUCUGGGCUUAAAGAGCAAAGCCCGCCGAUUGGAUUUGUUGUUUAUCUGCAUUUGCAGAUGGGAGAACUCAGAGGAUUUGUGUCUCGUGUGUGGAUGAUAAAUGCACAGGACUCUUUAAUAAUGACGCUCAGAAAACUGUUAAAUGGACAAAAGGCCAAAUUUGUGUGCAUGAAAACUGCAGGAACAUUAACGGAUUAGUUUUAAUUGAUUUCUUCUCCUGAUUCUCAAACAACAACAGCAAGUGUUUCGAUGGGAUCGAUGCUGAACUGGGCCUGUGUUCGGAUGAAGGAGUGUCCGCAGACGGGACUUUGUUGAGGAAAUGAAUCGUUAAAACCUGAAAAAUCACCGUGUUAACUAGAUUAGGCAGGGCAACUUAUCAAGUAAUCUCUUGAUAGGGCAUCUGAACAGUGUGAUGGAUCAUCUGCUGUCUUUUCUCCACAAAAUGCAUUCUUAAUUGCUUGUUGCAAUUAUGUACGGACAAAGAGAAGACAUAUCGGUCGGCGCUCGGUUUCCCCAUGGCUACUUUUGUUUGAAUGUAUUUUAAGGUCUCCAGAGGUGAAAGCUUCUGUUUAUGCAUAUCAAUGUGGUCCAUUUAUUUUCAACCAUAUAGACUCUUAAAACAAAGGAUUUUAUUGUAGUUUCUUUUAUGGUCAACAACAUCCUUAUGAAAUGUGCAUUUGCCUUCUUAGUAAAAGGUGUUGGGGGACAAGACGACAUGUGGAGAUGCUGCAGGAGAAAAAACACGUCAGUCUCUGCUCUCAAGUCAAUGAACUAUUUUGGGGCGCAAGUAAAAUCGUCUUCUUGCUUAAUUCUGGCGUAUCUAGACGUGUGAAUUAAAAGCAUUUACUCGCUUCAUUCGCAGGAAUGAUUUGCGCGUCAGUGGAAGCAGUGGAUAGCUGUUUAUGCUAACUUCAACAGUGAUUAUUGCGAAUUUAAUCGACGGGAUCAAGUGAUAGACGACGCUUUUUCACAAUUUACCAGAUAAUCCGAACUCUUCAAUCACUUUCCUCCAGCCGUGGACACGAGAGAGGGAGAGAGUCUCCAUCAAGCGUGGUAGGAGUGAAUCACAUUCAGCGGAUUGUUGUUUUGUUUUUGUCGUGGAAGGACCACAACCGUUGGAAAUGUAGGCGUCACCGUGUCUGGGUCUCCUCCAAUAGCUGCGCCCGGAUGGCGGACGUUUCCAGCGGUAUUUUGUCGACUUGUUGUUGAGGGUCGGUGUCCGGAUAUCCUCCAGGAUAUCGAUUACAGGCGCUCUAUCCCGGCUGCAGAGCGCCUGUCCGUCUGUCUACUGUGAGUAAAAGGGUUUGUGUUCAUAUUUUCAUACCGGUCAACAUCUUCUGGUCCGUUUUCAUACCGGAAUCUUCGUGCUGAUUGGUUAUUUAUGUGAAUAUUCACUUGAGUUGAGAUAUUUUCAACUCUUGCGAAUUUGCACCCGCUCAAUUUGUGUCAUUCGCGCCGCCAGAGUAAUAUGAGCGUUUAAUCGAAUCCUUGCAUUGAUUUUACAUUAGAGUGACCCUCUUUUAUUGUAGACAAAUACAUUUAUUUAUUGUAGAUAGUUUUAGUUUUCUUCUCCCUUUUUCCUUUUUCUUAAUUUUUUUCUUAAUUAUUACAUUUAUUUAAGUUCUUAAUAUUAGGAUCUUUAUUUUUAUAACUGCAUUUUUGCACUCUUUGUCUGUGAUGCUGCUGUGACAAAAAAAUUUCCCCCAUGGGGGAUCAAUAAAGGAAUAUUCUUUUACCCGGACAUGUCCACUAUUUUGGGGGCUGUCCUGCUUUGUCUGAGGAAGUUAAUAAAAUCCUUCAAAUGUCUGCGGUGUUGAAGUUUAGAGUUUAUGUCGCGUGGACUUACCGAGUUAGAAACCCAUAAAAGACACUCCAUCAAACCCGAAAAACUCUCAUAAUUAACCUCAUGUGACUCUGUGACUCCGCCCCCACGUAGUCGUGUCCUCUUUUUGGGAAGUCAGAUUAUGGUCACUCUUCUUAACAUUCAUUCAUCAGCAGGAAUGAUUUUACUUGUGCUUGGUGUGAACGCCCCUUCAGAGCCCCAUUAAAAAAGUGUUUUAGUCAGUAAAUAGGUCUGAGUUCUCCUCUCCUGAUGCAUUAAACUCUCUUCUUCUUCUUCUUCUUCUUCUUCUUCUUGCAUUUCAUCCCUGGGUGGGUAACCAUCUCUCUAGACUGGAUUAAAGCUGACCCUGAUUUACAUUCAGCCUUGGGAGAGCUAAGAUGGAUUGCAAUCAGAUUUAGGAUCAGGUCUGUUGAGACUGAGGAUGUGCAAAGGUGCUAAUGAAAGCCUAUGAAACCUGAGGUACUUGAGAAAUGUUCAAAUAUUGGAUUUGCAUUAAUCAUGUUGAAAUUUGAAGUGGGUCAAAGUCACGUAUGAGCCUCACAUGUCUGGUGUCAGUCAGGAGUUCAAGUUUCCGCGACGUCGUCUGACUUUCCCCAUAAAACUCUUUAUAUUGAAUCUGUCUCUUAGAAAAGAUUGCAUUUGAUUUAGGAGUCAAAGGUUGUAACUGUGCGGCCAGGAGAUGUCAUCGGAGAGGAAACAAGCCGAAACUCGAGUCCUCUCCCCCCGAUGAGACCCCGUCCAUGUGUUGACACGUGUGUCAGAGCGAGAUUGGAUCUUUGUUCUGAGGAGAAAUUAGAUUUCAAUGACAGGAGAACAUGAGCAGAACCAAAGCCCCAGACGGAGAGGGUGUGUGAAUGAGAGAAUAUAAUAGCUCUGAGAUAACUCUGUGUGUGUGUGUGUGAGUGUGUGUGAGUGUGUGUGUUCGACUGUGCCGCUUAAAUGCCACUUAUUUUAGCUGCAUUAAUUUAAUGUCAGUCCCAGUUUUCUGAAAAUGAGAAUGAAUUACACUGACCUCCUCCUAAGUGAAUUAACAUGGUUGAUUGUGGAUGUAAUUGCUAAUUAGCAUGACUCACUGGUUCUCACAGGUGGAGCGUUUUCUCUCUCUGAGGGGUUUCGAAAGCGGGGAAACCUCAGGAACAAUGGCCAUUAGAUUAAUACCGUCUCUCCUUAAAUGUGAGAGCCGCCGUUCCUCUUUUUUCGGAGAUAACUUCUUUUCAAUGGGAUGAAAAAUGACUCGUGAUGUAACGCCGUGCCUGGAAGUGUAGUAAGUCUGCGGCAGACAGGGCCAAAGAUUCAAUUCCUUUUAGAAAAGGUUAAGGGAAUCAUUUUUCUUUUGACGUCGUGGCCCGCGGCUCCAUUUUUCUUCAUAUUUGGCAGCACACACCAUCUCCGCGCCGUAUCGCACACUUCACAGACAAUAUCAUAAUGGGAGAAACAAACAACCCUUUUGCCCUUUGACCCCGUAAUCCCAUAAAAAAGCCAAAAGCCAAAGCUCUAAUGCUCUUACAGUCACUCUCCUCCAGUGGUUGAAGUAGGUGAGACCUUUGUUUUCUUAAAUCAAAAUCCAAUACCCUGCCCUGGCAGUUUUCUUCGCCGUUUUCUGCUUCCCCUGCACUCGGCUGUGGCACGGCUCAAACUCGCGCCCUUGACUUUUCAUCAGGUUAUUAACCUUUGGGGAGGUGAGCUAUGAUUCAGAGGUGGGCACGGGCUCCCCGGAGGCUCCGCUGUAAUACUACCAGAUGACUCAGGGAAAGAACAGAGGAGACAAAGAGAGAGAGAGAAAGGUGGAUGAGAGGGGAGCGGGCAGGACAGGUGUUCCUGACAAACAGAAAAACAACAGAUGUUUAAAAAGUCCUGUUGUGUUGGGUCUGGGUAUCACGGCCUGAAUGCUGAAAGCUUACUGGGAUUGUUCAACGAGGAAUAAAAAAAUGUGCUUUCUUUGUCUGGAGAGAUAUUAGAGUCGUAGAUCUUUGGUUUGAUAUCAGUCUUAUAUCUGCGGUCCGCCUUUAGGCUGCAGGGAGCUUGUACAUGUUACCUGGAGGGUUAGCGGUGCUUUGUCGAGUCUGCGUCUCGGGUUAUAUCUCUAUGAUAGGAACAUAAACUUGAAGGAAAGCUGAAUGUCAGUGAAACAGGAAGAAGAUUUGACUGCAAAGCCACAGUGCAUUUCUCCAUUUCAGAAUAAGACAGCGACAUUAUCUUUAGCCUGAAAAAAUCAUGAGACUAAUCCCUCUGAUUAAACAGCUGUGAUACAGAGUUCACCUUGUCUUAUAAAGUUAAGGAGUUUGACCAAAACAAUGAAAAUAUAAUGUUUAUUCUACGUCACUUACAAUACUUUCAGCAGAGGUCUUUUACAGAUCUGGAGAUCUGUUGUCCGUUCAAAACCACAGGACACAAAUAUAAGUCCACAAACCUUAUUAAAUAGAAACCUGAGGUACGUGAAUACUAGGGGUGGGUAUUGCCAAGGACCUCACGAUACGAUACGCAUCACGAUACUUGAGUCACGAUACGAUAUGAUAUUGCGAUAUCCAAAUGUUUGCGAUAUAUUGCGAUAUAUUGCGAUAUUCUACAUAGUUCACUGAAAAAUGUAAAAGGCAUUAUGCAUCUUAAAAUCCCAGUUGUAUGUACAUCAGAUGAUAGUGAUAAUUCAUGGGACAAACAGUCAAAACAAUGUAAUUCAAAUUAUCGAUGCCAUUUUAUUGUAAGUGCAAGUUACAACAUAUUUGCGUGACCAACACACUGUCUGAAACACAUUGAAAAGUGCAGUGUGCAUUAUUCUUAGUCUCCCUGAGCACAAUUAUGACACAAACUGCAGUGUGGGUCAGUGUCCACAUACUGAAACUGAAUUGAAACCUCAGUGGAUUAUGUUUCUUCUGAAUUUAGAGUAAAUACUCAAAAUAAAAUGCAGUGUCUCACACACACUGAAAUUGAAAAUGCAAAAUAAAGUGCAGCUUCUUGCCUUUGACCUUAAAUGACAAAAUUUAAUUCACAGUUGUCUCCCUGGACAAGAACUGUGUCACUGUUUGAACACUUCACUGAAUGUAUGUAAAAAAUAAAAUAUGCAAUGUUGCUGCCAGUGUGGCUCUCGUACAUGGCUCUCGUCUGCAACACAUGUGUUACCAGCUCCCAUUCGGCAUUAAUGUGGUGCGCCGUUAUUGUAAUGUAGGACUCGGUGGCUCGUGAUGUCCAACCGUCACAGGACAGUGCGACUCUCGGAGCAGAGCUAAGAACUGUUUUUAUUGUCUCCUUCACCUCGUCAUACAUUUUUGGCACAGCUACGUUAGCCAUGUACUUACGCUGCGGCAUCACAUAGCGCGGCUCCAAAGUAUGAAGCAUCCACCGAAAGCCGACGUUUUCCACAACGUUGUAUGGGCGCAAAUCUUUACAAAGAAAAUGCACCAUCGCCUCUGUGAUCCCCCGGGCUCGGGUUGAAGUAGAUGGGAGGACUUUGGCGAUGUCCAGUGUAGUUUGCUUUGGAUCGGAAGGUUUCGGUGGCUCCGGCUGAGCUAAUAUGUCGGGGUGGUGUCUUGCUAAAUGAGUUCUCAAGUUUGUUGUGUUACCCGAAUAUCUAAUGGGAGCGACACAGAGUUUGCAAAGCGCGUACUCUUUGUCCAGCUCAUUGUGUGUUUCUCCUUUCCUUUGGAAUCCAAAGUAUCUCCAAACAUCUGCCUUAAAGUUCGAGGGCGUUUCUAGUUUAACGUUACCAGCCAUGCUUGAUUGUUUUUUUCCCGGCUCCUCUUCCUCACUGCAACCGGGGGAAAAAAGAGAAGAAGAAGUGAGGUAGCGGUACAGCGACACCUAGCGGAGCGGAGGUGCGGAAGUCGUACUGGAUUUGUUAACCCGUCUGAAACCUGAUUUAUUAUUUGAACAAAAAAUCGAUAUUAAUAUUUUGAAUAUCGAUAUUGAAUCGGAAGUCAAAGUAUCGCGAUAUAUCGCCAUAUCGAUAUUUUUGCCCACCCCUAGUGAAUACAGGUGAAUCUUGGGGAAAAUGAAACAGCAUGCUCUCUCUGUCAACAGGUUAAAAAGUGAAUGAGUCAUAAAUUAAGAGUAAAGCUGUUAAAAUGUGAAAUAUAUGCGAUUGAAUGACUCAAACUAAAUUAUACUGAUUUUAAAAUAUCCUGUUAUUAGGGGUGGGAGAAAAAAUCGAUACAGCAGAGUAUCACAAUAUUUUGUCUGGUGAUAUAUCGUAUUGUCUCAUUUACAGAGUAUCGAUUUUUUUAAAUUAAUUGCUAAUAUGAAGUCAAAUCUAUGAUAAUGGAAAAAUAAAAUCAACUGUUUGUCCAGUGAGGUUAGCAGAGGUGACAGAGCAGGAGAAAGUUAGUUCAACAAAUAUAUAGAAGGUUUGCAAGAUGUGCUACAGGAAAAUAAAAUACUGUGUAAAUAAGACAAACAUACAGGAAAGACAAAUGCUAAACUAGCUAAGCAGUUGAAAAAAUUGUAUAAAUCGCAAUAUAUUGUAUCGCAACACUCACUGUAUUGCAAAAUGUAAAAAAUCGCAAAAAUAUCGUAUCAUAACCCAAGAAUCCUGAUAAUAUUGUAUCAUAGCCCAGGUAUCUUGAUAAUAUCACAUCGUGGCACAUGUAUCGUGAUAAUAUCGUAUCGUUGGGCCAUCGGUGAUUCCCACCCCUUACUGUUAUGGAUCAGAUUGUAAUAUAUGAUAGAACACAAUACCAAAGAACAGAUGAGGAUACAAUGAGAUACUAUAAAACACAGUAUAAUACUUAACUGUGGAAUACUAUUUCAUUGGACACGACACAAUAUGGUGUAACACAAUACAACAAAAUAUGAUUUGGUCCAAUCUUUUUGCACAUUUACUACAAAGUCAUCAGACUGUAGAUGAAGAUGAAAAAUUGACUAAAAAAACUGUAAAUGUUGGUCUUUACAUGAGAUUUCAUGACAACAAAAACAAAACCAAUAACUCACUAAGUAAAUUAAGAAAUUCUGCUUUUAAACAAAUCUUACGAUGAGUUUGUCAGAAAUAUGAAGGAAGCCCUAAAAUAUGAUGAAUACAGUGAAUUAUCACGUUCUUAACCACAUUGCCAAUUUGAUCUUUAUUUGUGGUCUAACACCAAAUAAAACCAUGUUUGGUGAUUAUCUAUCCAGCAGAAAUCUCAAAGUAGGUCCAUUUACUGCAGAUAACAGGCAGUAAAUAAGCUCUGGAUGAUGGACGCAGUGAUUGAGAUAGAGAUACCCUCUGAGAUAUUAUAAAUAUUAAAUCCCUAUAAUAGGAGGCUCAUGGGUGCGGUUAUGGAGGUACAGAGGUAAAAACCACAUGACACAUGUUGUGCAUGUGAAUCAACAGUAUGACUCAAUUACACCCCAAGGUGUCUUUGUCAGUCCAGAAGAAAAAUGACUUCAAACCGAGCCUGGAGUCGUUACAAAAGCUGCUCUACACCCCGGGUACGAGAUGACAAACAUGAGUGAAAGUAGGCCUGGACGAUAUAGAAAAAAAGCAUAUCGAUAAAAAAUAAAUCAUAUUGAUCGAUAUUGAUAAUUAUCGAUAUAAUUGUUAUAAUUAUUUGACAUAUAUUUUAAUUGCAGCCCUGGAUGUUUUAUGCUAUUGCUUAAUGACCUACUUUUAAUAAAGAACACACAAGCACUGAAUUCAAAUUCAAACCUUUAUUCAACCACCUUUUUAUUUUACCACAACUGAAAGUUUUUUAAAAAAGAACUAAAAAAAAAAAAGAAAUCAACUUAAGUGGCCUGAGUGAGGUCAGUAAAUACUGACAAACAUAAAGACUAAAGUGACCAGAAAAUCUGAUAAAUAAAUAUUUAAAUAGUCUUUUGAUGAAAACAAACAAAUAUAUAAAUAAACAGAAUAGCUUUAGGUGGGAAUAGCAUACUACCAGUUUUAACUGUGUGGGAAACUGCCCACAGCCUGGUGUCUGAACACUGACAUAUUUCUCCCGGGGUCGGGAGAUUUAUUUUUUUUAAUUAUCAUGUGAUUGACUUAAUACACAAACUCAGCACGAGAAGCAGGACUUAUCCACGCCGGUGUUGUGUCGUAGAAUGCACCCCUGCCGAAUGCACCCCCUGCUAGUAGCCAUGAUCCAAAUACUCGCGUCUUUGUAAAAUAUGAGCUCAUUUUCUUCCACUUUUAGAAGCUACACCGGAACGUAUUUCCUCCGCACCCUUCUCACCUUUUCAACCCCUGACCCAUUUUCAUGCCUGAAGCGCUGUGUUUGAGAAAUACUUGCGGCCGGGCACUUCAUAUCGCGGGUCGAGAGUGGCGAGAAGCUGGUCGAAUCCAGGCUUUUCAACGGUAGUUAUUGGCAGUAUGUCCCUCGCUAUGGAGCAUGUUACUGCAUGGGUGAUGUCCUUAUGCCGCUCGGACGCUUUGUCGUAUUUUGGCAAGAAACGAAGUCCAGUUUGGUCUGCUUCACAUGCUUUGUGCUGGUGCUGGCAGCGGUUCCAGAGGAUUCCUCCGACGAUGACGUGGAGCCGCGGCGCGGCCGACACAGGUCGUACUCCUGCGGGUGCGAUCGGUUUAGAUGGUAAAACAAGUUGGUUGUGUUACCACACUUGGUUUUUACUAUUCUCUGCAAAUUUUGCAAACGACCGCUGUUCGCUUCUUGUCAGACUUCUAAAAAACCAAAACAUUGCCAUGCUGGUGAACUACUGAAACCUUUUUUCGGGACAAUUUCCUCCGCUUCUCCUUGCUGUAUCAUUUUUUCUAAUUCACGUGCUGUCUGUUGUGGUUUGAGAGGGGCUGGGCUUGGUGCCGCGUACCUGGGUCUGCGUUUGUGAUUGGUUGGGAGGAAGUAAUGACUGUAGUAAAAGCCACAUGAUAGGCUAUGAUGAAAAAGAAAGGGAAACUGUGUUUUUCUAUCGAACUUUUUAUCGACCCGUUUUUUUUCUAUCGCACCACACGUCUAUCGAUCGAUAUAUAUUGUUAUCGAAUUAUCGUCCAGCACUAAGUGAAAGGCAGCCAUGAUCCAUAAAUCCAUAACAAAAGACUCCUCACAAUCAUUUAACCUUCAUGCCCGCUUUCAUGCCUACAUUAAAAAAAUAAAAAAAAACCCGACCCUUUUCUUUUGACUCUACACCUGUACUACGUGCACACCGGCUCCUGCAGAGCUGCAGGGAGCAACAAAGGAGAGUUCCACAUUAAAUAAAAAAUGAGCAAAGCGAGGGAAGUUUCAUUAUUCAUCUCACACUGGCAUGCCCAACUCCCCAGCUUCCUGAAGGGAACACUAUGAAAUUUCAAUUGGCAUCAUUCUAUGUGUUGAGUUUUAAUGUCAAUAUCGCAGACAGCCUGGCGGCCUCCCUUCUGACUCCAACAAGACACUUCAAAGCAGCACUUCUCUGAAUCCCUCAGUCUUGCAUCAAAAAUGUUAACCUUGGAGACAUGCUAACUACCCGGCCGCUUGUGUUCCUGAAUUCCAAUGAAGAUACUGAUCAUUCAAGACCAGGAAAAGAAAAGAAAGGAGUCGACCGUGCCCUCCGCUUUUUCUACCUGACCAUCGCUCAGCUUCUUGAAUCUCCACUUUACGUGUCUUUGCAUUCGAAUCGCUCUUUUGGAAAGAAAAUGCUGAAUCAAGGGUGUAGCUUUAGCUGAAUGGAAUUCAUGCAUGCCUGACAUUUACUCAAACCUCAAUUUCCAACGCAUCCGGAACGGCUAUGAAAAGGCCGUAUCCGCUGAUCGUAACCGUUCAAGUUAACGUGUCAAUUUCCACCGUCUUCUUUCCGUUCUUCUGCCGAUCGCAAGAGUUCUAUUUUUCCCGGACGCCGGAGCAUGCUGGAUUAAUUCGGCACAGAUUAACCCGUGCUGGAGAGGAAGUCGGGCACAGACACAAAACAAAACAUCAGGCGGAGACGAACAAGUGAAAGGUUUUUAGACGUCAUUUCACCCCGAUGACACCAUGGAUGAGGAGAUGCUGAUUCUAGAAGUCUAGAAGUAGAUUUCCUCCUCUGGAAGGACAAAAUCUACUGCUUAUAUGUCUAUGUGUCUGUCUUUAAAGAGACAACUCGUUAUUGUGCGAAUCCACAGGUUCUUGUGAGUUCUCACGACUCCUGCUGUCCGUAGUCCGCCACGAAAUUCGCCUCACAAAAAGAUCUGGUAGGAAUUGGCAGACGGCGAAAAUCACUGCCGUUCUCGAUUUGGGUCGCUCCAGAUAUGGUGGAAAUUCGUGGUAAGACACCAGCAGAGACAAACGCAAAGAUUUGUCUGUCUGCGACACUUAUAUUUACUCACACAUGAGCUAAACAUCGGCAAGUGCUGGAAUAAGAAAGAACUCUGCAGUGUCCAUGUCGUCUGCAGGCAAAAAUCUGAAAUAAGAGCAAAAACAACACCACACAGUGAAGCUGAGUCUGCUCCUUUGGGAGCUGGUGAGACUGCUGCUCACUUAGCCUCAGGUGUGGGGCUCUAAUGGCUGGCAGAGAGGACUCCACCUGUGUGCCAACGUGCCCCGUAAUGUUGCCAGAGCUGUGGAGGUAGAAUCAGAGAUGCACUGGCAGGAAUAUUUGUGCAGGUGCUGUCGUUACACUUUGGUGUAUAACACGGUGACUGGCGUGCUAUCCUCCAGCAAAAUCAUUCGGCAAGUCAUGAAAUCUCAAAAGAGCGAAGGGAAACUUUUUUCAUUAAUCUUGUUGAACUUGCAGUACAGUAGCUGGUUUCUCUUUUUUCAGACCCACAGCACUUUUUAAUCCAAUAAUCACUCACAUUUUUUCCCUGAACUUACAUUUCACAGCUGCUAACGUGCACAGUAAGGUGUUACGCUCCCUCCCACAGAGAUUCAAGGCAGACACACAGAAAAUAAUGAGUCAAAACCUCAAAUAAUGUUAUAAAAUUGUGAAAAAUAUUGGAUUUAAUACUUCACAAAUAAAUCCCAGAGGUCAAAUCAGAACACAAUAUAUAAAAAACCCAAUACAAUACAAAAAGACCUGCCAAGAUAAUAUAUGAUAUAGUUUGAAACAAUAUAUGAUACACUAUAAUAGGGUAUGUUAUGAUACAAUAGAAUAAUAUGGGAUACUGUAGUGCAAUAUGAUGCAAUACAAUGUACUACAGUACCAUAUGAUACAAAACAAUAAGACUGGUAGGAUACGUCACAAUAACAUACCAGGGGUAAGAGGAAGAACUGGUAGCAGCAUAGUAUUGCUAUAUUUUUGUCUGGUGAUAUAUCGUAUCGUCUCAUUGACCAAGUAUCAAUUUUUUUUUUAAUUAAUUGCUAAUAUGAAGUCAAAUCUAUGAUAAUGGAAAAAUGAAAUCAACUGUUUGUCCAGUGAGGUUGACAGAGGUGACAUCAUAGAGCAGGAGAAAGUGAGGACAACAAAUAUAAAUAUAUCUAAGGUUAGCAGGAUGCGUGACAUAAAAAUAAAAUACAGCGUAAAUAAAAUUAACAUAAAGGACAGCCAAAUGCUAAAUUAGCUAAACAGUUACAAAAACUGUAUUCAUCGAAUUACUUAGUGUGUUGCAAAAUGUUAAAAAUCGCAAUAAUAUCAUAUCGUGGCCCAAGUAUCCUGAAAAAAUCAUAUCGUAAUAAUAUUGUAUUGUGAUAAUAUCGUAUCGUGAUAAUAUUGUAUUGUGGAACAAGUGUCGUAAUAAUAUCGUAUCGUGGGGCCAGUAGUGACUACCACCCACGAUAUACACAUAUAAUGCACUACUGUAUAACUCAGUAUGUUACAGCUAACUACCAUAUAAUACUUCAUAUGUUACUGUGCAUAACUUAACACAAUAACACAAUAUUAUACGAUACAUUAAGAUGAAGUAUGCUAUGAUAAAAUAUGUGAAUCAAAAACUGGUUUUAAAUGAGAACCAGUUCCAACCAGUUCAAGACGUGACACCAUUUACCUUAAUGCUCAGCUGUUCACUUAUUAAUGCCUUCCAGGUCACUUAAACUGGCCUUUAAAAACACUGAUUUAACGCAGAAUAACGAGGCGUUAAAUCAAAGUGGACGAUUAUUAUAACCUUCUUUAAAACUAGAAUGGUACUGUGUACCAUCUUACAGUUAAAUCCACUUGUUUUGUGAGACCGGUUACUUUCCGGGGAUAAACUCUGGAAGAUGUUUCUGUAACAUCCAGGAACUUUUCUGUUGCAAAAAGAGGACUUCAGUAUUUUCUGAGCUUGCCUGAAUACAACCAUAUAAAAGUUAAGGGAAACUGUUGUGACUAUAGAUUUUAAUGAAAUUAUGUUUUUUCUGUUGUAAGCGGACUAUGCUUAUUGAAACUUUCUUUAUUUCAGUCCCUCAACCAAUCAGGGGUUGUUACUCUUAUAAGUUGUCCUGUAAAAAGUCCAAUCAGAAGUCAGGUUUCCUCAUGUUAGCAGAGCAGUAAAAGUAUUAAUGAAGAAGUAAUAAAAUUAUUAUUGUCAAAAGAGAAAACCCACAGAAAUCGGUAAAGGAACUGACAGAGAAUUGAAGUUGAAACUGACACCGUUAUUAAUAGAAUAUAAUAGGAAAUAUAUAAAGGAAAUUUCCAAAUAUUUUAUACCUGCACAAAGCACCCUUCAAUAAUAAGUCCAAUAUUUCUCCUUGGAUGGGAGCCGUCAUGUUCUACCUGUUAUUAGCGGCUGGUUUACACUUCUAGGAUUUCCUGUUUAAGCACACACAGCAAGGUAAACAAAUAAAAAGCACCCAUUUUUAUGCAAACUCUGCAUUCUUUCUCCCCAGUAUGAUCACUGUAAAGACAGCUUUCCAGGAUCUAAUUAUUAGUGUGAUGCCCUCAGGGUUUUGGCAUCCGUAAUGGCUGUAGUAAGUUGUGCAGUCAUGAAUUAUUCAUCGGCUAAAAAGGCUGUGAAAAUAUUAUAUUCAAGGACAAAAAGGAAAUUGUAAUGACUAAGAAUACAAUGGCAAUGGUAUAAAAAAAAAGAAAAAGGAAAAAAAAAGAAAAAAAAAGCUGACAGUGUGAAAAAGUUGAGCUGUGUUGCAAGAGUAGCAGAAUUUUAAAGAUAUUUUGGGGCAUGCUACGAGCCAAAUUUCAUCUUUAUUUUAAGUGGUUGUAUCUGCAGAGACCUACAUGGAGCUGACAGACUUUGCCCCAAACUGAUACAGCUGAUGAAGAGCCCAGAAGUUGUAAAUAAAAAUCUGCAUAGAUGUCAGUCCGCCUUCAUUUCAGUUGAAUUUACGUCCUGGAAAAAAAAGAGAGAGAGAAAAAAAACUUGAUCGGCCUGUUGCCCUGGCUUCAUAUAUGAAGAGGUCCUAAUAAUCCUUAUAAAGUUCAUCUCAUGCAGGCGGGAAUCUGACGAAAGCGUUUCUACAUAAUGCGAGCUGUCCGUCUGAUAUAGACCUGUAAGGAAUAGAUAGUCAUCAUCACAUUUGGAACACCCACGCGCUCUCUGGAUCGUCUCAUUUUAAAGAGGCCAUGAACGGGAAGGAAAAUGUCAUUAGUGAGAUAGGUAAUCUGCUUCUGGAGACGAAUCAAAGAUCAUAAUUGGAUUUUCUUCAAGGCUGCUCAAAGCUUUUCAGAGUCUCAGCCCACUAUCAUAUUAAUGAUUGCAAGCCAACUGAGCUUGAGAGGGAGCGAGGUGAAAGAUGGACUGCUCUACAGGUACCCCGCCUCGAACUUCAGUCAGUCUACAGUGAGAGUGUGUGCACACAGAAAACCCUCUAAGUGUUUCAAUGGUUCAGAUGAAUUCACAGGAUGUUCCCUGAGAAUGAUAAGAAAGAGAGGAAAACAGGAAGGAGGGGAAAGUUAUUUUACCUGAGAGUCGGAGAUCUACGACAACAGACCGUUUACACACUCAUACACAUAGACUGUGUAUGAGGAAGGCUUCAGCAAUCAUUAUUGGUAGGGUAGAGGAAGAACAGUGAGAGAAAUUUAAAUGUGCCGUGUGAGGACAUUUAGCGCCAUCUAGCUGUCAGAUUCUAAAACAAACAUUUCCUCAUCUUCUCCUGCCUUCCAGUUGUUCUCUGAAGUCGGGAUUUCAGAGAAGUUCAUCUGGAACGCCCCCCUAAAGUCGGAACUCGGAAAGUCGGACGAUCCUCACCAACCCCGACUUGAUGACAACGUCAUAAUCCAAGAUGGCAGCGCAGUGCAUCAACAGUAAAGAGUAACAAGUGGUUUAUGUUGAACUGCCCAACGUCUAACUGUGAACACGCUGCGAUGGUGUUUGUACGAGUAAAAUACUGGGUUAUGGGUUGUUUAAAACUGGAAUAGCUAACAACAGCUGACAAUUGUAAACAACAGCUGACAACAGCUAACAGUAGGCAUCCAUCUUAGUUUUCCGACUCGAUUUUCCUAAGAGAAUAAAAUCAUAAUAAGGUUAUGUUACAAGAAUAAAGCUAUGAGUAAAGUCGUAACGUUACGAUGUCAAGAAUAGAGUCAUAAUAUUACGAGAAUGAUUUAGUUAAUUUGUUAAUUUGUCUCUGAGGUUUUGUCUUCUUAGCUCCACAUUGUUGUACAGUAAUCAUCCUAAAACUGAAAAGACUGAGCAGAAAGCUGAGACAUGUGGAAUCCCCCUUUAAAACUGCAUUAUGAGGCUAAUCGCUGGUCAACUCUGAGUAUUAAAGCUAAUGAGGGGGAAUGAGUCGUGUUACUUCUCUGGGAAAAGAAAUAAAUGAGUUAUCGGCUCAACGUCGCCUCAUCGUUGACUCUCAUGAUGAAACAUUAGUAGGAUCCCUGAAAGCGGCACUAACUGAUAAAAAACGGGAAAACUUCAGAGUCGACCCUUAUUAUCUGCCAUAUCUGCUCCUAUUAAUACAUCGUAAUUGUUUAUAAAAAUCAGUGCGUAGGCUUCACUUCGGCUUUUCAAAAACUAGAAACACAAGAGUUGAUGGUACAAAGUGCCAAGGCUGUCACUUUCUCAAACAUGUACAAACAUGCUAACGCCGUGCUAAUACAUCUGUACCACCCAACAGUGUGUGUGUGAGUUGGAGUAAAAGUUUAUCUUACUUUAUAAACUCCUGAACGUUACAUAUACUGUAUAUAAGAAUCACUGCACAGUAAUGCAUGCUGGGAUGGAGAGCCUGACAGCUAUAAUAACAGUAAUUAAUAGGAUUUCUAUUAAUAUCAUAGUGUUAAUGUGUGAAACAAAAACACUGAUAAUACAGAUGUGUGACAGAGUGUGGGUGUUUGAUUCAAACAUAGAUUUACGUGUGAAGUUAAUGCCUUAAUUCUAUAGGAAGCUGAAGCUUGAAAUCCCUCCUCCUCUGAACAUCCUGCUAAUGAGCUCUGCUUUACAUCCUACAUGCGGUGAAAGGUGCACAGCUGGAGCCCUUCACCGAACAUCUUCUUUCAGCGAAAAGAAUAAUUUAGUAAUCUGGUUUCAUGCUGACACUGACGGCCGUUUAAUCAAGCUGCAGUGGAAAACAUGAAAAUGUGUUAGUCGGAGGAAAAGAUGAGCGGCUUUUUCUGAGACAGUCUCUCGUUAACGACCGUCGACGUCUUCUUGUGUAACCAGUGGGUGUUUUUUUCUGAGUGAACACUUAAUUUGUUAAAUUACCAUUUCGUGCUGUUUGCUUAACUUUCAUGUCUGUACUUAAGUUACAUGUUAUUAUUGAAGAGCUGAGUUUGUUUUAUCUUAAAAAAGACACACCUGCACCUCAUCAGCUGGUGAAAACUUCCUCUAAAGAUAGACGCUCACUGGAAAUACACCUUAAAAUCACAUCUUAUUAUCUUAUAAUUCCACAUUUUCAAUCUGAUUAUUAUGAAAAACCUUCCCAUGAUUAUUCCUGACUUUCCAAUUUUUAUAACCGACUUCUCAUAAUUCUGACUUUUCUUUCUCAUCCAUAUGUGAACUUUCUCAUAAAGUGCUUUAUCUUUUCAUUAUGACUCUCAUAAAUUUGACUUUUUUCUUCUCAUAAGUAUGACGUACUUUCUUAAAACUUAAACAUUUUAUCUUAUAAUAAUAACUGCUUACAUGAUUUUUCCUCUGUUUUCAGAUAAUUAAGACUGACUUUCUCAUAAAUUGACUUUUUAUGUGAUUAUGACUGACUCUCUUAAUAAUGACUUUAAUACCUUAUACCUAUGUCAUUCUUUCUCUUACUUCCAAUUUAUACGACAUCAUUUUGACGUUUAAUCCUACAGAAAAACAUUUUAUCUCAUAUUGCGGUUAAUAGUCAAAUAAAUUCAAAUUUUGAAUCACAUUAUCAGGACAAACUUUCUCAUAACUUUUCAUUGUUUUCACUAUUUUGACUGACCCUUAUAUUUUAUCACAAAUUCUUGAUUCUGACAAAUUGGCAUAAUUUAGCCUCUUUUUCUCAUAAUUAUGAUUGACUUUCUCAUAAUAUUGACUUUUUAUUUCAUUGACUUUUAUGUGAUUAUGACGGACUCUCAUGAUAAGGACUUUCAUACCUCAAACCUAUGACACACCCUCUCUAACCGUCGAUUUUUACAAUAUAAUUUUCACUUUUAACCCAACAGAAGGCCUCUUUAUCUGAAAAAUAUGACAUAAAAAAAAAAAAAUCAACUUUUUUUCUCAUAAUGAUGACUGAAAAUCUAAUAAUUUAAAAUUUUGAAUCAUAUUAUCAGGACUGACUUUCUCAUAACUUUUCAUUGUUUUGACUGACCCUUAUACUUGAUCACAAAAUCUUGAUUCUGACGAAUUGGCACAAUUUAGUCCCUUUUCCUCCUAAUUAUGACUGAUUUUCUCAUAAUCUGGAUUUUUUUACCUCACAGUUAUGACAAACCUUCUCAUACCAAGUUUAAAUCACAUCAUUUUGAGUUUUAAUUCUAUAUUUAUGACUUUUAUCUCAUAGUUAUGACAGGAUUUGCUUACCCCUUACCCCUUGUCCCAUAAUUUUUGGUGACUUUCUCAUAUUUAUGAAUUCUUGUCUCAUAAAUUCAGCAUGUAUUCUCAUCAUUAUAGCCUUUUGACUCAAAAUUAUGAAUUUCUUAACUUAAUUUUUACUUUUUUAUGACCAUGUCUGACUUUCUCAUUUUAAUUUUUUAUUUUAAUGAAGACGUAUGACUUUCUAAUUUUAAAUUUAGAUGUUAUAAUUUUUUAUUUUUAAUUUUUUUAACCAAACAAUCAGGACUUUUUAUCCCAAAGCUCGGACUGAUGACUGAUUUUUCCCUUUUAUCUUGAUUAUUUAUCUCAUACUUUUGUCUUUUGUCUCAUAUCGUAGUCUCUACAUGUGUUUAGUCUCGUUGAAGUCCGGUGACUGUGUAUUGAAAAUGAAAGUAGGUGAAGCUGCUUCUUCUUCUCUUUGCCAAAGUCUGCUGGUGUCGGAGCAGAUGGUGCUUCUGCAGUUAUGAAGGAAGGUGGCCAUAAUCUGAAGUGCUAUCGAUCUGAAGUGCCUUGAAAAUUGCUGUAAUGUUGCAUCACAUGGGGCAUUUUCACGGCAUUGUUAUUUCUCACACAGUUGUGGUCCCUCAAACACUUCUUUUAUAACAAUUACACUCUGAGCCUUUGAAUCAAACCGAGAGCGAAGCAGGAGUGUGAAAUUUAAGGGAGAGGCCCAAAGAUGCAUCUGUCACCAGUGGACAUGUUUUCUUAUUUGGUUUUUGCUCCUGAAUAAAACUGGAAAAAAGGAUUUAAGGAAUCUGAGUGGGAAGUUGUUAAAUUUGACUUUUCUUCCAGUUCAGUGUCUUUUUCUCCCACUUCAGCUGAACUCCCGUUGGCUUUUGGCCGGACGGCUCUCUGAGUCUUGGACAGCUUCACCUUACGCAAGCCUGCGUUUCCAGACUGAAC
rnacentral:lncRNA from 1 species